GUACAACUUAGAGGAAGCAGACAAAUGGGAGCCACACCUCUGGUCCCAAAGGAUAACGGACAGGAGGAGAGACUGGCCAGAGAAGGAAAAGGGAAUGUGAGACCUUGACCCUGAUGUCUUUGGGAAGUUGAGGGAAAUGCUCCUGCCUAAUUCCAGCUGGACUCACCUCUCAGUCGUUCUUGCUAUCAGUCAUUCUUCAUUUGAACCAUCUUCUCUUGGACCAGCCUGCUUCCUGCAAAGAUGGAACUAAUAGAAGUCACAGUGAUGGACUCUAGUGAAAAAUGAAAACCAG
rnacentral:lncRNA from 1 species